rnacentral:rRNA from 1 species
AGUGAACGCUGGCGGUAGGCCUAACACAUGCAAGUCGAACGGCAGCACAGUAAGAGCUUGCUCUUACGGGUGGCGAGUGGCGGACGGGGGAGGAAUACAUCGGAAUCUACUUUUUCGUGGGGGAUAACGUAGGGAAACUUACGCUAAUACCGCAUACGACCUACGGGUGAAAGCAGGGGAUCUUCGGACCUUGCGCGAAUGAAUGAGCCGAUGUCGGAGUAGCUAGUUGGCGGGGUAAAGGCCCACCAAGGCGACGAUCCGUAGCUGGUCUGAGAGGAUGAUCAGCCACACUGGAACUGAGACUCAGUCCAGACUCCUACGCGAGGCAGCAGUGGGGAAUAUUAGACAAUGGGCGCAAGCCUGAUCCAGCCAUACCGCGUGGGUGAAGAAGGCCUUCGGGUUGUUAAGCCCUUUUGUUGUGAGAGAAAAGCAGCAGUUUAAUACCCCGCUGUUCUGACGGUACCCGAAGAAUAAGCACCGGCUAACUUCGUG